AGAUUGCGAAGAUUCGAUAUUGAACUAUAAAUUUGAAAGUGCUGGUGUAGUGUAUACGUAUGAUGAAAAAAACCGAUACAGAAAUUUCUUAACAUCGUUUGAGUUGGUUCUUUCUGUUGUAUAUUUC